CAACCUGGCGGCGAGUGGCUAACGGGUGAGUAAUACAUCGGAACGUACCCAGAAGUGGGGGAUAACGUAUCGAAAGUUACGCUAAUACCGCAUACGAUCUACGGAUGAAAGUGGGGGACCUUCGGGCCUCAUGCUUUUGGAGCGGCCGAUGUCUGAUUAGCUAGUUGGUAGGGUAAAGGCCUACCAAGGCGACGAUCACUAGCUGGUCUGAGAGGACCACCAGCCACACUGGGACUGAGACACGGCCCAAACUCCUACGGGAGGCAGCAAUGGGGAAUUUUGGACAAUGGGCGCAAGCCUGAUCCAGCAAUGCCGCGUGAGUGAAGAAGGCCUUCCGGUUGUAAAGCUCUUUUGUCAGGGAAGAAACGGCUGACGAUAAUACCUUCGGCUAAUGACGGUACCUGAAGAAUAAGCACCGGCUAACUACGUGCCAGCAGCCGCGGUAAUACGUAGGGUGCAAGCGUUAAUCGGAAUUACUGGGCGUAAAGCGUGCGCAGGCGGUUUUGUAAGUCUGACGUGAAAGCCCCGGGCUCAACCUGGGAAUUGCGUUGGAGACUGCAAGGCUUGAAUCUGGCAGAGGGGGGUAGAAUUCCACGUGUAGCAGUGAA
rnacentral:rRNA from 1 species